rnacentral:lncRNA from 1 species
AUUCUCACUGUUGCAUGAGGUGACAAAACGACCACUAAAAGAGCAUGCCAAAAGGUAUGGUUGCUCAUCUGGCCUUGGCCAACUAUCUGGCAAACAGUCUGGAAGGUGCUGCACCACCACUGCUAGAGGAACACAGAAAAGCAAAAUCUCCUAGCGUGGUAUCACUCUACAGCCUUACUUGAAAAAUUUAAUCUCAUGGGCCAGCCCUGAUGGCUUAAUGGUUAAAGUUCAGCACACUCAGCUUUGGUGGCCCAGAUUCAGUUCUCUGGCACAGCACCACACCAUUUGUCUGUGAGCAGCCAUGCUGUGGCAGCAGCUCACAUAAAAGAACUAGAAGAGCUUACAACUAUGUACUUGGUCUUUGGGGAGGAAACAAAAAAAGAGAAGAAGAUUGGCAACAGAUGCUAGCUCAGGGUAAAUCUUUUCUAGCAAGAAAUAUAUAUAUAUAUAAUCUGAGAAGCCACUAUUCCCACUCUUUUUAAGCCUUGCCUCCCUCUCCUAAGCACUGGCUCCUCUCCCAUCUAGACUCAUCUGCAAGUCUUUCCCAGCCAAUCCUAUCCACUUUCUGCUUCUAUUCCACUGCUCAAGCAAAUGUUCCAACUGAACUAUUCCUUCCCUUCCUAUCCCCACCCACAACUGAGCCUUGGUAAAUCCUAUGCUCUUUAAGAUUUAACCAAAAGGCUGCUUCUAAUGUCUUCUCUAGUCAGACUAAUGUAAAUUAAACUCUAGAAGUUCUACCCUCACACAGCACCUUUUUUUAGUUCCAAAUGGCAAUUAGAAAACCCUUCUUCAUCCAUGAGUUAUUUGUUUCUGUCAAGCUCUCUAGAGUAUAAGAUUCUGGAGGGAAGAAACUACAUUCUAUUAACCGUACGCACUCGUACGGCCAUUAAGAAUUAUGUAGUAGGACUGAAGUAAAUCCCCAGGAUAAAAUAUUUAAGCUGGUGGGCAGUAUAGCUUCCUAAAUGUUUUUAACUUUUUAUAUUUACAGAAAUCAGUUCUGAUUCUAUUUGUAGAUAACAUCAAUUAUGUGAGUCUAAUAACUCACACUUUCUGAAUCUUUCCAAACACAGAAGCAUUCUAAGUUCCCUUUGAACAAAAAGCCUAUGACCUGGACUAAAUGUAUCUUACAGAUAAUGACCAUCUCUGAACAUGCGUGAGGAACGGGAGAAGGUAGAACAAGCCUACCAUACAGGAGCAGGAUCUGGUGAAGAUGUCAAGGUGUACCGGAUAAGGUAAUACUUUAUUGUCCCACAAAAUAAUCAUUUUAAGUUAUUCAUUCAAAAUUUACCUGCGGAGGUACAGAGAAACAAACUGUUUCAAUAAGGGGUUAAGUCUCCUUAGGUUUAAAAUACAAGAGAUGUAUUACAAACACUCAACAUAAUAUUUUUAAUUAUUUGGAGUUGUCUUUUACUUCAGUAUUCAUUAACUCCUAAUUAGAUAUCAUUAGCCAACUCUCACUCAGGAUGGAGGUAACUACAGAAAUGAAAUUUUAAAAUUUCAUUCUAGGUAAACAGCAUUAUACCAUGUAUUAUUCAGUUACAAAAUUGUAUCUCACACAAUUAUCAGGUGACUCAUGCAUCCGCCGUAAAUUUCGUGGUGCAGUCUCUAGCAGCCAAAGGUGGAAACCUGAGUCAACUGGCAACAGUUCCUUUUCUGACUGAUCUCAAGGAUGUUUUCUGGUUGCUUGUAGACUGACCCCCGAGGCCGUUGAUGGCUACCCAGACUGUGCAGUGCAGCCUAGUCAGGAGCUAGAGAUACACACAAGCUUAUCGUCCGAAACCUAUUGAUCUAAAGAGUGGUUAUUUGAUUCUGUGAUAGUGGGUUUGAAUACCUAUUGAGGUCAUUCAUUUCCACCUUGCCCCAGUUCUCCCACCUAAUUACACAGAAACCUUUGCAUGUUACUACGUUUCUCUAAAGUUCCAAAUUCCUCAACUAUAAAAUUUUGAUGAUAAUAGCAUUUACUUCUAGAGUUGUUGUGAGGAUUAAAUGAGAUCAUUUUUAGGACACAGAAGAUAAUUGAUGCCCAGUAAACACUAGAUAUUGACUGUGUCACCAAGUAGAGGAAGAAUAAAUGAGAAGUAGAAAAAAGAGAAGACCCA